UAUUCUGCCCCAUGGGGAAGGAUGAGAAGCUUCGACUAAGGUUCGACUCGAGCGAAGCGAGAGAACGUUGCCGCAGGCAACGGCCCGAAGGGCGAGGCGCUU
rnacentral:sRNA from 1 species